GCGUUGGUAGUUUAAUGGUAAAACAAAAAUAUCUUGGUUCAAUAUUUAUCCUCAAUAGGGUCGCCGAAUUAAGGUUAUCGUUGACUUGGAAAUCAAAGAUGUAGGUUCGAUUCCUACCCAACGCACCA
rnacentral:tRNA from 1 species